AAGAGUUGAGAAAUUCUUAUAAAAAGAACUAGUGAAAAUGUCGCCAUUGAAAUCGGAAAGAUAAUUAAGAUCGAAAAUGGUUUUUGAGAAAUAACCGUGCACUCUAAACACCUCAAAUGGACUUACACGUACAGCUACGAAAGUUCCCCUGGUUUGACGGGUAUAAUUCCAGGAUUGGUUGUUAAUUUACUACUCGUGAGUCCGAAACGUUGGAAGAAACUGGAACAUCAAAAUUGUUUUUCCAAAAGCAAUGAAUUCACUCCACUCAACCCAGAAAAGACCAACGACAAUGUUUCAAAGUUAUAAUAGGUUGUUUCACCAUCCUGACUGCUGUCGUAUCAGUUGCUCUUAUGGUGCACAUCUACCAGGGAGAAAAUACAGGAAAUGUCAGUUUUUUUAAGUUUAACAAUUAUUUUAUUAACAAAAUCUCCAGUUUCGGACAGGCACGCUUGGUGGUUUGGUGGCUGACAACAAAGAAUGCGCCAAAGUGGGCAAAAAUCUUGAGAGAAGGUGGCAAUGCUGUGAAUGUAGCUGUUGGAGUUUCAUUCUGCAUGGGAGUUGUUCAUCCGCAUUUGACCGGGAUCGGAGGAGAAGCUCUGACGUAUCAAGAACACCAUCGAUGGGUGGCCCUCGGAGGAACUGAGUCGUAGAAGGAUCAUCCUCACCCAAUUAAGAAUAGGAUAUGCAAGGUUGACACACAGACAUUUACUUUUAGGCCAAAGCCCGCAUAUGUGUCUGGCAUGCAGAGAAAGGCUGCUUGAUGAGACCCACCUAAUUAAAAGUUGCAAUUCCUUGGCUCCAUAUAAAGAGUGCGUAGGAAUGCCACCCAAUAUGAGAAUUAUCCUUGAGCAUGGCUGCAAAUGGAUCUACUGGUCUGAUUCUUGGAGGAAAAGUUUUAUUUUAUUGUAUAUAGUGCUGACUGUUUUGGGUCCGAAGCGUGUGUUAAGAGGAAAUGCAUUUAUCAGUGCGAAUGUGUAGUGUGAGAGGGCCAUGCAGAUUUGAGCUUACACAAAUCAGUAAUGUAUUGAUUAAUAAAGAUGAAAUUCAUUAUAUUCAAAUUGUUAAUUUAUUUAUUAUAUUCAGUAACAAGACUAGAUCCCCCACAACAAUCCACAUUUUAAAUUAUUAAAAACAUCUGUAAAGUGUAAUGAGAACUAAAAAUUUAGACUACUAAAUAUAAUGGAUUUAAUUAGAAACUAUUUUCCUAAAGAGUUAAAAGCAUCUUUGUCAUUAAAUGUUUGAGAUUAUAAAAUUGUGUAAAUUGGCAUAAAAACAAAACAAUGAUACAUUUAAUUUUUUUAAAUUUUUAUUUAUGCAUCAACUAUUCUGUAGAGAUGUAUUUAAGAACACAAAGUCUUUCAGGUAAUAUAGAUUUUUUUUUCUUUUUGCCUUAGGAAUGGCCUUGUGCUCAUUUAUGACCACAAACUAGGAAAACUAAGAGAUUGUAUUAAUUUCAACAGGAAAGGCAGCACCAGUUCAGAAACCGUGGGGAUCCCAGGUUUCAUAAAUGGCCUGUCUUUUGCCCAUAGCAAGUUUGGAAGACUUCCCUGGAAAAAAAUUCUUUCAUAUUCUAUUGAACUUGCAAGAACAGGAUUUAUAGUUACAGAAAGCUUGAAGAGUUCAGUACAACAUUUGAAAACCGAAAAUAUCAAAACCAAACUUGGCCUGUGGCUUAAUUCUCUAAAAGUGGGAAAAGUAACCACAUCCAAGCCCCUUGCUGAAACUCUUGAGUUGUUGGCAGAACAAGGAGGAAACGUUUUUUACAGCGGAGCUUUUACAAAAAAUCUUGCCCAUGUUUUGUCGGAAGAUGAUAUGAAAAAUUACAAAGUUCUAAAUAACGUAUGCGCUAUGGAGGAAUGGAAUAAAUUCAAGUUAUUCACUACUGGCCAAGUUACAGGAGGCCCGCUGUUGCUGAAAGCUUUGAAAAAUAUGAACAAUGCUUCAAAUCCCUAUGCAUCAAUUAAAGCAAUAAAUGAAGCAUUGACAACUGCAGAAAAUUACACACAUGGAGUUGUAGUAACUUCUGUUGACAAGGAUGAUAAUUAUGUGUGUGGUAAGAUUAGGAUCAGUUUUGGGCUCGCAAAUAUUAACACCAGGAGGGUUCGUUCUCAACGAUGCUGCCAAAUACGGAACGGGGAAAAUGUUUACGAAUGAACUUGAUACACUUUCACAUUCACUUGUCACUGAAGCUCAAAUUUGUUCUUCAAUAUAUGUCACAGGUGCGAAUGAUUUUAGGGAUUUGCUACAAACACUUUUUGAUGUUGGAAGGAAAUCAGGAUUUGCAGACUGUUGUCGAGAGUCCGCGUAUGAGAAUGAUCGAUGAUACAAUAUUCAGAGUUGGAUCACGCUCCAUCAUUCCCGCCUAAAGAGAUAGAUCAACUUUCUAAGGCGGGAGUUAUGCUAGUCCCAGCAGCCAAACCCUAACCGAGCAUAAAUGUGAUCCACAAAUUUAGAGACGGUUAAACCCGUGUGCUGAUUCCAGGGGGCUUGGUCUAGGAGUAACCGUAUAAUUUACACAUUAUACAAAAUUGUUGUUAAAUUUACAUAAUCUUAAAAUGUAAAUAUGUAUAUAUUGUACUGGGAAUAAGUCAAAAGAAUGUUAUGCAUCAUUGUGCAAUAAAUAAUACUAAUUUUGGCUC